rnacentral:lncRNA from 1 species
UCAAACACAUGGGACGAAUGGUUACAUUAGCUCCAUUAACACCCAAACAAAUGUGUGAAGAUCAACUCAAAAUGCGGAGUUCUAUUGAAAAAUCAAAAGAAAAUGAGCGAGAGCAAAAGAAUGAAAAGAAUAAACAAAAGAGUGGAGAAAAGAGGAAAAACAAAAAGAUGAGUGAUAAAGAAAAAGAAAGUGAUUCAAAAGAAAACGAAAAAGAAACGAGUGAUGAAAAUGAAAAAAAGAGUUUGUAUAUGAAAGAGAGAGAAGUUAGGAAAUCGAUGUUGUAAAAGCAUUCAUUGUUGGUUCUUUUGUACAAGGAGAGUUUGCUCG